GACAGAGGGUGCGAGCGUUAAUCGGAGUGACUGGGCGUAAAGGGCGCGUAGGCGGUUGUAAGGGUCUGAUGUGAAAUGUCUGGGCUUAACCUGGGAUGUGCAUUGGAAACUGUAUGACUAGAGUCUAGGAGAGGAGAGUGGAAUUUCCGGUGUAGCGGUGAAAUGCGCAGAUAUCGGGAGGAACACCAAUGGCGAAGGCAGCUCGCUGGGACGGUACUGACGCUGAGACGCGAAAGCGUGGGGAGCAAACAGG
rnacentral:rRNA from 1 species